UCGCACUAGCCGGGGAGUCAGCGGUGCCCUGUCGCCCGCAAUCCGCUGUAGCGGGGGUGAAUCCCGGUCCGAGGGUGUGCAUUGUAUUGUCUGACCCGCGUAAGCGGCGAUGAGGGAUCGGUCUUGUGCAACGGAAACCCGUGAACCAUGUCAGGCGGGGAACCGAGCAGCAUUAAGCGGACCCUUCCGUGUGCCACAAGGCAGCCGCUUCCGAGCUGGCUGCGCGGGUAACGGGUAUAAUGUACAUUCAGAGGCCGGUGUGCGA
rnacentral:SRP_RNA from 1 species